CUUGUAGCGUAAUGGAUAACGCAUCGGACUUCUAACUAUGAUAUCCGGGGAUUGUGGGUUCGAGUCCCGCCAA
rnacentral:tRNA from 1 species